AGCUAUUUAGCUUAUCUUAAAGCAUUUAUUUUGAAAAUAAAAGAAAGGAACUCAACUUAUUAGCUU
rnacentral:tRNA from 1 species